AUGCUCAAAAUUCUCCAAGCCAGACUUCAGCAAUAUGUGAACCGUGAACUCCCUGAUGUUCAAGCUGGUUUUAGAAAAGGCAGAGGAACCAGAGAUCAAAUUGCCAACAUCUACUGGAUCAUGGAAAAAGCAAGAGAGUUCCAGAAAAACAUCUAUUUCUGCUUUAUUGACUAUGCCAAAGCCUUUGACUGUGUGGAUCACAAUAAACUGUGGAAAAUUCUGAAAGAGAUGGGAACACCAGACCACCUAACCUGCCUCUUGAGAAACCGGUAUGCAGGUCAGGAAGCAACAGUUAGAACUGGACAUGGAACAACAGACUGGUUCCAAAUAGGAAAAGGAGUACAUCAAGGCUGUAUAUUGUCACCCUGCUUAUAUAACUUCUAUGCAGAGUACAUCAUGAGAAACGUUGGGCUGGAAGAAAUACAAGCUGGAAUCAAGAUUGCCGGGAGAAAUAUCAGUAACCUCAGAUAUGCAGAUGACACCACCCUUAUGGCAGAAAGUGAAGAGGAACUAAAAAGCCUCUUGAUGAAAGUGAAAGAGGAGAGUGAAAAAGUUGGCUUAAAGCUCAACAUUCAGAAAACGAAGAUCAUGGCAUCUGGUCCCAUCACUUCAUGGGAAAUAGAUGGGGAAACAGUGGAAACAGUGUCAGACUUUAUUUUUUUGGGCUCCAAAAUCACUGCAGAUGGUGACUGCAGCCAUGAAAUUAAAAGAUGGUUACUCCUUGGAAGAAAAGUUAUGACCAACCUAGAUAGCAUAUUCAAAAGCAGAGACAUUUCUUUGCCAACAAAGGUCCAUCUAGUCAAGGCUACGGCUUUUCCUGUGGCUGUGUAUGGAUGUGAGAGUUGGACUGUGAAGAAGGCUGAGCGCCGAAGAAUUGAUGCUUUUGAACUGUGGUGUUGGAGAAGACUCCUGAGAGUCCCUUGGACUGCAAGGAGAUCCAACCAGUCCAUUCUGAAGGAGAUCAACCCUGGGAUUUCUUUGGAAGGAAUGAUGCUAAAGCUGAAGCUCCAGUACUUUGGACACCUCAUGCGAAGAGUUGACUCAUUGGAAAAGAAUCUGAUGCUGGGAGAGAUUCUGGGCAGGAGGAGAAGGGGACGACAGAGGAUGAGAUGGCUGGAUGGCAUCAUGGACUUGAUGGACGUGAGUCUGAGUGAACUCGGGUUGGUGAUGGACAGGGAGGCCUGGCGUGCUGUGAUUCAUGGGGUCACAAAGAGUCAGACACGACUGAGCGACUGA
rnacentral:lncRNA from 1 species